rnacentral:lncRNA from 1 species
UAGAUUAUUGAUAUCAACUCUGGAGAAAAGAAUAAGUCUUACACCCGGCAUAACAACAGCAAAACCAUAUUCCUGCUGCUGUCAGUUAUGAUGCACUGAGAAAACUUCAGAGACCUAAACUUUUUCCAGAGAAGAGAAGCUUUACUGGUGUUCCAGCCCUAAGCAACCAUCUUUCCUGUGAAAAAUUCCCUCUCCUAGUACUUUAGUUCUGUGGAUCCAAAAUUUAUAGCAUUCUUCUACCACCACAGGGGCUAUAUGACAUUGACAGACAAGACACUUUUCAGAAAGACAGGGUUGUUCUUUUGGGCCACAUCUAAGACAUCUUUGUCUAGCCAAAAGCCACAAAUAAUUUCUCAUUUUUUGGCUUCUGGAAGAUGUACAGUUAAAUGUUAUAUUUGGGACUGUUAUCUAAUUUGAUUAAAUUGCACUCUACAAUAUGAUAUUUGAAUUGAUGAAAAAUUAGUGAAUGUUAGUAUUUUUUAAAGUAGCCAAAUCUUGCAAUUUAUAUAUAAUAGAGAAGACUAGAAAAUCCCCCAUAUUUAUUUCCUCUUACUUCAUACUACUAAAAUUUGUAUUUAGGCAUUUGGUUUCUCAGAUAAACAUUACAUUCCCCAGUAUAUGGUUCUAUCUGGCUUGGUGACGACAUGAUGAACAUUAAGAUGUGAGCAGAAGUAAUACAUACACACUCUUUUUAAUGUCUUUAAUUGAAUGGGAUAUUGGCCCAUUUUUCCUUCCAGUUUAUUACACUGAAUAUUGACAUGUUAUUUUCCAAUAUUGAGACAAUCAAUGACAAGACUUUAAGAGUAACAAUGUAAAAAUUACAGAAGUUGUCUGAGUUUAUCAACAAUCCCCUGGAUUAGAACCCCCUACCAGUUCUAGGUCAUCUAAUAUAUAGACAUUGUGUUCAGUAGAAAUAAAUAUAUAUAUUUUUUAUUAUGCUUUAAGUUCCAGGAUACAUGUGCACAGCAUGCAGGUUUGUUACAUUGGUAUACACGUGCCAUGUUGGUUUGCUGCACCCAUUAACUCAUCAUUUACAUUAGGUAUUUCUCCUAAUGCUAUCCCUCCCCCUGCCCCCACCCCCCGACAGGCCCUGGGUUGUGAUGUUCCCCACCCUGUGUCCAAGUGUUCUUAUUGCUCAAUUCCCACCUAUGGGAAUACAUUUUUAAAUCAUUUUUAAAGGUGUUAUUACAUUCUGAUUGAACAUUUUCAGAAAGAAUAAAUAAUUUAAUACAAGAAGUGGGCCACUCCAUGUAACAAAACAAACCACCCCUACAGCAACAACAACAAAAAACACUAAUGAAUGUGACUUUAGCUUUGCAACAUCGUGACAGACUAGCAAGUUAAUGACAUUUGUUAUGCCAUAGAAAAUAUUUGUUGAAUUGCCACUCUAAUGACUUUAUAUCAGCCAACUCAUUAUCAACACUAGAAAAGAUGAUUAAAAAAUACUUCAGUACGUUCACGUGUUGGCUUGUUAACAUUUUUAAGAGUCUAUAAGAGAAAAAUGCAUCCAAUCUCGACAAAAAUAUUUUUCAAGUAUCUUGUAGGUACAUACAACUAACUACCUUGUGAACAAAAGUCACUAUAUAAUUAUAUAAUU